UGACCUCCUGGUUCAUAGGUCGACGCUCAACCACUGAGCCACGCUGGCCCAGCACAAUGACAACCCUUAAUGUCACACUCAACCAUCCCAGCAGCCCUUCGGAGAGGCAUUGCUCUUGUCCCAUUUUGUGGAUGAGAAGCCCAAGGCACAGAGGCGUUAAAUCAGGUGCACAGUUCUGGCUGGAGAGUGGCAGCCGUAGUAUCUGAGCCCGGGCAGUGGGACCGUGUGUGCAACGGCGGCUCAGAGAGGUCUGACACCUGACCAAGGCCACACAAUCAACGAGACAAAAAAAGGGCCUGGACACUUAGCUUUCUGACUCCAACUCACACGCCCCUCAGCAGUUGUCCUUGUGCCCCUCAGCUUGUCCUGUUGCACAGCUAGAGGGUGGGACUGGACUGGUUUGGAGCGGCACCUACCCUGGGACCGGUCCCAUUAAAGCAUAAAUAAUACAUGUGCCGGCGCGCGGCCCAGGACGCUCCCCAGAGCGCCGCCGGGGGAACCGGACCCUUCCCUGGGUAUCAGGUGGGAAACAGGCCACUUGGGGCUGCUUGUUGGUUACUUAUUCACAGCCUUCCAUGUCACACCUCACACCUCGGUGGACUGGGCCGGCUGCGCCCAGCUACAGAGAGGAUGGACGAGGCCGCCUGUGACCGAGGAGCCUGAAGCAGCAGGAAACGACAGGAUCAUGCAGCCUUGGACUGUUAGAAGAAAUUACUAACGAAGGAAGGAAACGUAGGAGUCCAGAUUCUAACGGAACUGGGGCCUGACCUUACCAGCUCAUGGCCCAGCAGUCUUCCCUUUCUUGCUCUCUCUUCCAGGGUAGGCAUGACCCUGCUCUUCCUGGUGGGCUGCGUCUUCUUCCCGCUGAUCUUUGCUCUCCUCUGCUGGGGCCUGCAGAACCACUCCAGCCUGCAGAUGCCGAGGCCGGAGGCUGUUUUGGUGGCAUCCAAGUAAGAGGACAGGGUGAGGGCAUCCUUCCUGGGGCCAGGGCUCCUGCAGCUGGUCUCCUCCUUCCAGGAAGGGUUAGUGGUGAGAGCAGAAGCAGAGUGUGAGUGUGUGUGAGUGUGU